rnacentral:lncRNA from 1 species
GACCGAUAAUGGAAUUUUAUGUAGACAACAGAAACAUCAAUAGAUGCUGCCUUCAAUUAAGAGCCUGAUUAUGGCAAAAACUGUUUUGCUGUCAAGGUAUACAUUUUGUAUAGUUUAUUUAAUGCAAAAAUAAACAGUACACCCUAUAUCAUCAUUUAAGAUUGUAAUUGCAGAAAUUAAGCAGGUGCUCCACAUGGCACAGCUUUAUACGACCACAGAGGUUGAACCCUAAACAGUUGGGCCAAGUAUGGAC